GGACGUAGUUUAAUGGUAGAACCUCAGCCUUCCAAGCUGACUACGUGGGUCCGAUUCCCAUCGUCCG
rnacentral:tRNA from 2 species